UAACGGGACAAGGUGCCCCGACAGCGUCAGGGAGGCUGAUCGCCACCAAGCUGGCGCAGGCGGAGGCGGAGCUUCGCAAGGUGGACGAGGCGCUGCAGCGCGUGCGCGGGAUGCUCUGAGCCAAUCACAACGCGGCGCCGGGAAGCUCCGACCAAUCAAAAUGUGGCGCCGGGAUGUUCUGACCAAUAAAAACAUAGCGCGCAGGAUACUCUCA